GACGGAGGGUGCUAGCGUUGUUCGGAAUCACUGGGCGUAAAGGGCGCGUAGGCGGCCCAUGGAGUCGGCUGGUGAAAGCCCGGGGCUCAACCCCGGAGGUGCGGCCGAGACACAUGGGCUGGAGGCCGGAAGAGGAGGGUGGAAUACCCAGUGUAGAGGUGAAAUUCGUAGAUAUUGGGUGGAACACCGGUGGCGAAAGCGGCUCUCUGGUCCGGACCUGACGCUGAGGCGCGAAAGCGUGGGGAGCAAACAGG
rnacentral:rRNA from 1 species